CCCCAGUCCCCUCAAUGUCCCCAAUGUCCCCAGUCCCCCAAUGUCCCCAUUGCUGUCCCCAAUCCCCCCAACGUCCCCCUGCUGUCCCCAACGUGUCCCCACCGUGUCCCAGACUCGGAGCUGCAGGUGGCCCUCAUCGCGCUCUUCUCGGAGCUCCUCUACCGCUUCCCCAACCUGGUGGUGGCCCAGGUGACACGGGACAGCGUGCAGGCGGCCAUCGCCAACGGCAUCACGGCCGAGCAGAUCAUUCACUUCCUGCGCACCCGCGCCCACCCCGUGAUGGCCAAACAGAGCCCGGUGCUGCCCCCGACCAUCACGGACCAGAUCCGCCUCUGGGAGCUCGAGCGGGACCGGCUGCGCUUCUCGGACGGCGUGCUGUACAACCAGUUCCUGUCCCAGGUGGAUUUCGAGGUGCUGCGGGACCACGCCCGCGCCCUGGGCGUGCUGGUGUUCGAGAACCCCGCGCGGCGCCUGAUGGUCGUCACCCCCGGCGGCCACCCCGACGUCAAGCGCUUCUGGAAGCGGCAGAAGCACAACGGCUGAGCCCGGAACCCCCAAAUCCUGGGGGUUGGGAUCGCAAAAUCCCCAAAAUCCUGGGGGUUGGGAUCGCGAAAUCCCCGGAAUCCUGGGGUUUGGGAUCCCGAAAUCCCCAAAAUCCUGGGGUUCGGGAUCCCGAAAUCCUGGGGUUCAAGAUCCCAAAAUCCCCAAAAUCCUGGGGUUCGGGAUCCCGAAAUCCCCAAAAUCCCGGGAAUCCUGGGCUUCGGGAUCCCGAAACCCCCAAAAUCCCGGGGUUCAAGAUCCCAAAAUCCCCGGAAUCCUGGGGGUUGGGGAUCCCGAAAUCCCCAAAAUCCCCGGAAUCCUGGGGUUGGGGAUCCCAAAAUCCCCAAAAUCCCAGGGUUCAAGAUCCCAAAAUCCCCGGAAUCCUGGGCUUUGGGAUCCCGAAAUCCCCAAAAUCCUGGGCUUCGGGAUCCCGAAACCCCCAAAAUCCUGGGCUUUGGGAUCCCGAAAUCCCCGAAAUCCCAGGGUUCAAGAUCCCAAAAUCCCGGAAAUCCCCGAAAUCCUGGGGGUUUGGGAUCCCAAAAUCCCCAAAAUUCUGGGCUUUGGGAUCCCGAAAUUCUGGACUUUGGGAUCCCAAAAACCCCAACAUCCCCGAGGGGUUCAGGAUCCCAAAAACCCCGAAAUUCUGGGGUUUGGGGUCCAAAAAUCACCGAAUUUGGGGUUACUGGGGCACCCCAACAUCAAACACUUUUUGCUGUCCCCAAAACUCCCCAAAAUCCCAAAUUUGGGAUCCCAAAACCCCCAAAUUUGGGGUCUUGGCACCUCAUUCCCGAAAAUCCCGGAUUUUGGUGGGGGAAAAUUCGGUUUUUUUGUACAAACGAUGUUUUUUGGAAAGUUUUUUUUGUAGUAAAAACGUUUUGAGCGUUUAAAAAAAAAAAAAAGGCAAAAUUUUGAGAAGGGAAUGGGGGAUCCCUGAGAGAAAAGGAGAAAUUUGGGAUUUUGGGGGAUUUGGUGGGAAAAUCCCGCAAUUUGGGGAGAAAGAUUUUGGGAAUUUCGGAGAGGGAGAGGAGAGGUGGGGGGAGGGGCGGAUAUCUGAGGGGAAAAACGCGGAUUUAGGGAAAAACAGCGACGAGUUGGUGUGGGCGGAUAGGAUUGAUGGGUUUGGGGGUCAAAAAUGGGAAUUUUGGGGAUAAAAGUGGGAAUUUUGAGGACAAACAUGGGAAUUUUGGGGAUAAUACGAAUUUUGGUGAUAAAAAUGGGAAUUUUGGGGGAUAAAAAUGGGACUUUUGAGGACAAAUAUGGGAAUUUUGGGGCUAAAAGUGGGAAUUUUGGGGACAAACAUGGGAAUUUUGGGGACAAAAACGGGAAUUUCGGUCCCGGUGUCCCAAAUGCCUCCUUUUCCUCUGCGCCUCUCACCGCGGCGUUACGGUAAGCCCCGCCCGCGCGCUCGCGUCAUUACGGCAGCGCCGCCAGCGGGCGCGACCUCGCUCUGAUUGGCUCGACGGCGCGCUGCCCGCGCGCUGAUUGGCCGAAGCUUUCCCGCGCUGGGCGCUGAUUGGGCGGCUCCGUGAGGGAGGGAGGAGGAGGAGGAGAAAGACGCCGGAGCGGCCAUGGCGGCCAUGGCGGCGCUGGAGCGCUGGGUGUCCGGGCAGCUGCAGGAGCUGCUGGGCCUCAGCGGCCGCCACGUCCCCGCCUUCCUGGUGGCGCUGGCGCGGCGCAGCCGGAGCCUGGAGGAGCUGCUGGAGCGGCUGCGGGAGACCGAGACGCUGCGCGUGGAGGAGCCGCGCGUGCGCGAGUUCGCGCGCCAGCUGUGGGACAAGGUGGGCGGGGGGCAGCGAGGGGCGGGGCUUGUGGGAGGCGGGGGCGUGGUUCGUGGUUGGUGGGCGGGGUUUGGACGCGCCGCGUUG
rnacentral:lncRNA from 1 species